AUGGGCAUCGCCGGCCUCCCUUCUGACAUCCUCGUGGAGGUGACUGCCAGAAUCGCCGGGGAGUCGACGACGCCCCUGGACGACAUCGUCAGCCUCAGGCGAUCAUGCAAGGUGUUCCGCGACGUGACGGCGGCCAGGGAGGUGGGCCGGUGCAUGGCGGUGGACAAGGAGUGGCGUCUGCACUGGUGGGACAAGGAGAGGUUCCUCUCGGUGCUCGGGGAGUGCGCGGCCACCGGCAACCCCGAAGCGUCCUACAUCCUCGGCCUGGAGGAAAUCUGCAACCGGAGGGGAAAGGAGAGCGGGCUCCGGCACCUCCACCGCGCCAUGAAGCACGGCCAUGCCGUCGCGGCCUACACCAUCGGCAUGAUUAUGCUGCGCGACGCCUACAAUCCCGAAGGUAUCGAGGAGGCAAUGGGAUAUCUGGAGGGAUGCUCUGCAGCAAGAACAAAGAGCAACAUCAAGAUUGCCUCCGUACGCAGAGAGGCCGCUUCGGUCAUGAGAAGGCUGACGAUGCGCCGCUGGAGGACGGCCGAGCCUGCCGCGCCCUGCGCCGACCCGCGGUGCGGGGAGAUGGAGACGGCGGAGGCCUGGGACGAGGACGACGAACAGAGGAGGUUCUGCAGCCGGCUGUGCAAAUGGAAACAUGAAUACCGCAAAUUUGUGCAGUGGAUUUAA
rnacentral:rRNA from 1 species